GGUUCGUGUUAGGCAGUUGCUUCCCGAAUUAUCGGGAGGAGGAAAGUCCGAACUCCGCAGAACAAGGUGCCGGGUAACACCCGGGGACUUAAUUGCGCAAGUAUUAAGUCACGGAGAGUGCCACAGAAAACAUACCGUCCCAACUUAAAUUGGGAUAAGGGUGAAAAGGCGAGGUAAGAGCUCACCGCUUCGAUGGUAACAUCGAGGGUUCCGAAGGGAAUCCCGCUUAGCGGGACGAGGCAAACCCCACCUGGUGCAAGGUCAAGCAAAAGGAUCUCGAGAAAUCGGGACAAGGUUGUUCGCCUUGAUUAUCUGUUUAAUCAGAUUAAUCUUUUGGGUAGACCGCUAGAUUCCGGGAGUAAUUCCGGAACAAGAUAAAUAACUGCUGUCUGGAAUUAAUCCGGAUUACAGAAUUCGGCUUAUUGACACGAACUUUCU
rnacentral:RNase_P_RNA from 1 species